GUCCUAGCCCUAAACGAUGGAUGCUUGGUGUAGCGGGUACCCAAUCCCACUGUGCCGGAGCUAACGCGUUAAGCAUCCCGCCUGGGGAGUACGGUCGCAAGGCUGAAACUCAAAAGGAAUUGACGGGGGCCCGCACAAGCGGUGGAGCAUGUGGUUCAAUUCGACGCAACGCGAAAGAACCUUACCUGGGCUCGAAGCGCAGUGGAUGGGAGUGGAAAACAUUCCUUCCCGCAAGGGCCGCUGCGUAGGUGCUGCAUGGCUGUCGU
rnacentral:rRNA from 1 species